rnacentral:rRNA from 1 species
GAUGAACGCUGGCGGCGUGCCUAAUACAUGCAAGUCGAGCGAACGGACGAGAAGCUUGCUUCUCUGAUGUUAGCGGCGGACGGGUGAGUAACACGUGGAUAACCUACCUAUAAGACUGGGAUAACUUCGGGAAACCGGAGCUAAUACCGGAUAAUAUUUUGAACCGCAUGGUUCAAAAGUGAAAGACGGUCUUGCUGUCACUUAUAGAUGGAUCCGCGCUGCAUUAGCUAGUUGGUAAGGUAACGGCUUACCAAGGCAACGAUGCAUAGCCGACCUGAGAGGGUGAUCGGCCACACUGGAACUGAGACACGGUCCAGACGCCUACGGGAGGCAGCAGUAGGGAAUCGUCCGCAAUGGGCGAAAGCCUGACGGAGCAACGCCGCGUGAGUGAUGAAGGUCUUCGGAUCGUAAAACUCUGUUAUUAGGGAAGAACAUAUGUGUAAGUAACUGUGCACAUCUUGACGGUACCUAAUCAGAAAGCCACGGCUAACUACGUG